CGAAUCAUCUGGAAAGAUGAAUCAAAGAAGGUAAUAAUCCUGUAGUCGAAAAUGUUGUCUCUCUUGAGUGGAUCCUGAGUACGACGGAGCACGUGAAAUUCCGUCGGAAUCUGGGAGGACCAUCUCCUAAGGCUAAAUACUCUCUAGUGACCGAUAGUGAACCAGUACCGUGAGGGAAAGGUGAAAAGCACCCCGGAAGGGGAGUGAAACAGAACCUGAAACCGUGUGCUUACAAGUAGUCAGAGCCCGUUAAUGGGUGAUGGCGUGCCUUUUGUAGAAUGAACCGGCGAGUUACGAUUUGAUGCAAGGUUAAGCAGUAAAUGUGGAGCCGUAGCGAAAGCGAGUCUGAAUAGGGCGUUUAGUAUUUGGUCGUAGACCCGAAACCAGGUGAUCUACCCUUGGUCAGGUUGAAGUUCAGGUAACACUGAAUGGAGGACCGAACCGACUUACGUUGAAAAGUGAGCGGAUGAACUGAGGGUAGCGGAGAAAUUCCAAUCGAACCUGGAGAUAGCUGGUUCUCUCCGAAAUAGCUUUAGGGCUAGCCUCAAGUGAUGAUUAUUGGAGGUAGAGCACUGUUUGGACGAGGGGCCCCUCUCGGGUUACCGAAUUCAGACAAACUCCGAAUGCCAAUUAAUUUAACUUGGGAGUCAGAACAUGGGUGAUAAGGUCCGUGUUCGAAAGGGAAACAGCCCAGACCACCAGCUAAGGUCCCAAAAUAUAUGUUAAGUGGAAAAGGAUGUGGCGUUGCCCAGACAACUAGGAUGUUGGCUUAGAAGCAGCCAUCAUUUAAAGAGUGCGUAAUAGCUCACUAGUCGAGUGACACUGCGCCGAAAAUGUACCGGGGCUAAACAUAUUACCGAAGCUGUGGAUUGUCCUUUGGACAAUGGUAGGAGAGCGUUCUAAGGGCGUUGAAGCAUGAUCGUAAGGACAUGUGGAGCGCUUAGAAGUGAGAAUGCCGGUGUGAGUAGCGAAAGACGGGUGAGAAUCCCGUCCACCGAUUGACUAAGGUUUCCAGAGGAAGGCUCGUCCGCUCUGGGUUAGUCGGGUCCUAAGCUGAGGCCGACAGGCGUAGGCGAUGGAUAACAGGUUGAUAUUCCUGUACCACCUAUA
rnacentral:rRNA from 1 species